UUUCUUUUCAAUGCACGUUGCUGUCUCGCUCCAUUGCCUCUCUGUUCCAACCAAAUCUACCUCGCAUAAUAUUUUCCCAGUUCCCGCAAAAACGAUCUUCUUUUUCACAACGCAAAGCUUGAUUUUCUCUGAUUAAUGCUAUUUAUGAGCAUGAAUACUUCAUGAAGUUAUAAUGGGACAUUACCUAGUUAUGGUACUGCUACAACAGGGUCCUAGGAGGAAUGACUCGAGACAGACAUAAUUUUAAUGCUUCACAAAGUGGCUGGUCUGAGACUCAACUGGCACAAAUGACACGAUAAUCAAUCGUUAAACCGCUGAAACAGGCAACGACUCUCAUAUUCACGAACUUAUGGCGAAGCUCAAUGAACAAGCUGCCCAACAGCCAGGAGAAAAUCCGAUGAAGAGUUAUGAAAGAUGUAGUAAAUGCAAAUGCUUACCCCAUUACAAGGGCAGAAUAAUGCAUUGGGUUUGCCAUGAGGCUAGCACUUCUCUGUCACCAUAUAUCAGGAUCCUCCCUUUCAUCAUUCCGUGUGGGUCCAUUUUUUAAG